rnacentral:pre_miRNA from 1 species
ACAACAACAUUCAGAUCGUCGGUCUACCGAGCAAUAUCACCCGCUCGGUGGAAGAUCUUCCCUUUGUCGUAAGCC